rnacentral:snoRNA from 1 species
UGGGAUGAUGAAACAUCUCUCACCUGAGAUGUGAUGAAGGGCAUACGGUGCUGACCA